rnacentral:miRNA from 1 species
GCCAGGGAAGAGGCAGUGCAUG